rnacentral:snoRNA from 1 species
UCCCUCCAGAUUCCUUAGCCUUCCAACCUGAACAGUGGUCUGAGUGGCUUCAAGAAGAGAGGAGGAAAGUGAAACGGAAAUGGACUUGGAGUCUUGCGACAAACAAGUUCACUUCAAACAGUA